GGAGUUAGCUCAGUGGUAGAGCACUUGCCUAGCAAGCACAAGGCCCUGGGUUGGUCCCCAGCUCCA
rnacentral:tRNA from 1 species